CUACGGGAGGCAGCAGUGGGGAAUCUUGCGCAAUGGGGGAAACCUUGACGCAGCAACGCCGCGUGGGUGAUGAAGGCCUUCGGGUCGUAAAGCCCUGUCAGGUGGGAAGAAACUUGUGGAUGUUAAUACCAUCCGCACUUGACGGUACCACCGGAGGAAGCACCGGCUAACUCCGUGCCAGCAGCCGCGGUAAUACGGAGGGUGCAAGCGUUGUUCGGAAUUAUUGGGCGUAAAGCGCGUGUAGGUGGUCAGGUAAGUCAGAUGUGAAAGCCUUCUGCUUAACAGAAGAAGUGCAUUUGAAACUGCUUGGCUAGAGUACGGGAGAGGAGAGUGGAAUUCCCGGUGUAGAGGUGAAAUUCGUAGAUAUCGGGAGGAACACCAGUGGCGAAGGCAGCCGUCUGGGUCGACACUGACGCUGAGGCGCGACGGCGUGGGGAGCAAACAGGAUUAGAUACCCUGGUAGUCCACGCCUUAAACUAUGAAUACUAAGUGUCGGCGGGUUACCGCCGGUGCCGCAGCUAACGCAUUAAGUAUUCCGCCUGGGAAGUACGGCCGCAAGGUUGAAACUUAAAGGAAUUGACGG
rnacentral:rRNA from 1 species